GACCGCGUAGCUCAGUUGGCGGAGCAUUGGUCUAGUAUUCCAAAGGUCGUAGGUUCUUUUCCCACCGUGGCCG
rnacentral:tRNA from 1 species